AGUGCAUCUCAUGUCAGCUCACACACAAAAAAAUAAAAACCCUCUCUCAGUUCUUCUCUUCCAGGUCCCCUGGUACUGCUGGGUGAUGCAGCUAUAUGCAGCGUAGUUAUUUUUGAACCCUCGGCAGAUAUUUACAAGCUUCUGUGAAUAGCAAAGUUCUUGGUGCUCCAUAUGGGAAAUCUAAAUGUGUGAGGACUCAGACCGGGAACAGAAAGAGAAAUGCAGCAAGGAUGCAGAGAAGUGGGUCAAGGCCUUCCAUUGCAGUUGGGAGGCGCAAUCACCAUCUGUGGUGAGUGCUUUUACUUAUCACAUUUUACGGAGGAAUUAAGUGAGUUUGAGUGAAUUUCUCAAAAAACAAACUAGGAAUAGAAGCCAGGCAUCUUGUCUGAUUCGAAAAAAUUAAGUCAUUUCCAACAGUACAUUGGUAAGUGCAAAUUCGUUCUAAAGGGAACAUUUUCUUAAUGGUGUUUUUCAGCAUAAAUAUAGUAUCAGCCUAAGUCCUCCAGUAAACAAAUAUCAAUCAUCUUAAGUAUUUCUUGCCUGCGGAAGAGCUUUCAUUGUGAGGGUGUCACUCCCUAAAAGUCUUGUUUUAUUCUUCAUUUCUGAGGACUCCUAGACUGCUUUUGGACUAAAAUGUAUUUUUAUCUGAAGAUCUGUGAGAGCUUUGCAGCCUCUAAUUUUUCCUGCAAGAGCUGUGCCAGGCAGCAGCACAUAAGUAUAACCACCACGUGGAUGGGUAGGCUGCAGCGUAGAGACAGAUUUGCUGGAGGUUAAUACAAAGAGUUAGAAACACAGAGAGCAAGAAAUCUUGUAGUCCUUGUCUUUACUUCUGCAUGCAAAUUUCUUUUAAAUUACUGUCUCCUCUGGCAGGUUAUUUAUUAGUAAAUUACAGUUAAAAUGCUUGACUCAGAUCAAAUAGUAUAUUGGAUUUCUAGUUUUAAAAUGAACUUUACUAAUCCAGUGAUUGUUACCAGACUCAGAAAAUACUUCCUGUUAAAAUUACUCUCAAAAGUGCUUUAAAACAGAAAAGC
rnacentral:lncRNA from 1 species